rnacentral:rRNA from 1 species
AGAAGCUUGCUUCUUGGGUGGCAAGUGGCGAACGGGUGAGUAACAUAUCGGAACGUACCGAGCAGUGGGGGAUAACUAAUCGAAAGAUUAGCUAAUACCGCAUAUUUUCUGAGGAAGAAAGCAGGGGACCAUUUGGCCUUGCGCUGUUUGAGCGGCCGAUAUCUGAUUAGCUAGUUGGUGGGGUAAAGGCCUACCAAGGCGACGAUCAGUAGCGGGUCUGAGAGGAUGAUCCGCCACACUGGGACUGAGACACGGCCCAGACUCCUACGGGAGGCAGCAGUGGGGAAUUUUGGACAAUGGGCGCAAGCCUGAUCCAGCCAUGCCGCGUGUCUGAAGAAGGCCUUCGGGUUGUAAAGGACUUUUGUCAGGGAAGAAAAGGGCGGGGUUAAUACCCCUGUCUGAUGACGGUACCUGAAGAAUAAGCACCGGCUAACUACGUGCCAGCAGCCGCGGUAAUACGUAGGGUGCGAGCGUUAAUCGGAAUUACUGGGCGUAAAGCGGGCGCAGACGGUUACUUAAGCAGGAUGUGAAAUCCCCGGGCUCAACCUGGGAACUGCGUUCUGAACUGGGUGACUAGAGUGUGUCAGAGGGAGGUAGAAUUCCACGUGUAGCAGUGAAAUGCGUAGAGAUGUGGAGGAAUACCGAUGGCGAAGGCAGCCUCCUGGGAUAACACUGACGUUCAUGCCCGAAAGCGUGGGUAGCAAACAGGAUUAGAUACCCUGGUAGUCCACGCCCUAAACGAUGUCGAUUAGCUGUUGGGCAGCAUGACUGCUUAGUAGCGAAGCUAACGCGUGAAAUCGACCGCCUGGGGAGUACGGUCGCAAGAUUAAAACUCAAAGGAAUUGACGGGGACCCGCACAAGCGGUGGAUGAUGUGGAUUAAUUCGAUGCAACGCGAAGAACCUUACCU